AAUCUGCAGAAACCUCAAAGAUUACAGCGCUCGCACGGCAGGAGCGCAGCGGCUUCCCAUACGCCGGCAGACAAUGGGGCGGAGGAAGGAAGGGGACGGUGGCCUGGGGACCCCCGCGCCCGCAGCACGUGCACCGAGCCUGGAGCGCCCGCUUUACAGAUCUUGUCGCUCCACCCCUAAAACAAAGGCCCCGGGGCCCCAUCUGUGCCGGGCGCGGGGGAGGGCGCCGCACUUGCUGCCCGCCGCGUGCAAAGCGAGCCAGACAAAGGGCUCAGCCCUGCAGACGCGAGCAGUGGGGAAAUAAUUAAGCACUAAGGAAAUAUUGUAUGUGGAUUUGAGACCAACGGGAAACGCGCUCCCAAACAAUGCUCGUUGUUUGCACCGAGCCGCUUUUCUGCUAAGUUUCAUCAAUGAAAGCACCAGAUUUCCGCGUAGGAGGGACUCGGGGGCAACGAUGCAAUUGGAAGUUCCAGGAACAAAGUCACUCACUGUCCUGUGGGUAGUCUCCGAGUCUCUGCGAGGACCCACUGCACGGCAGGAGCUAGUCUCAGACUGAGGUGAGUUCUCGGCAGCAGAAGGCACCACCGCACUCCCAAGGGCUAAAGGUUUACCCUGCACCUCUCCUACUGAAGCUUGCAGAGGGUUGGCAUGGCAGCCUUCUUCAUCAUAGGAGACUCUAAGACUGCUACUUUUGGCUCCUCUGGGUUGUGCAGCUUGAGUGGAAGAGCAGAUCCUCUCACAGCCUAGACCUCCUGGCCAGCCGUUUCUUGCCCUAGACUCCACUCCGAGUGGCAGUCUCCCAAGCUGUCUAAUAGGCGUAUGGGAGAAGUAUCAGCAAGUAUGCUACUUCUAAUGUCCCAGGUGGUGCACCCAGCACUGUGCCUCUUCCCUAGUGCAGCUGAAGGAAAGCUGCCACUGCCUGUGCCUUCCUUUACAAGGGUUGUCCUGGCAUGUGUCAGACCACUGGGUCCCCUAACAACCUUGCCAAUGUGCCAGUCCUCUGAAUGUUUCUGGGCUUUAGCCCCUGCCCUUGGCUUGCACGUGUCUUCUUCCUAGGACAUCCGGGGUGCUUGUGUCAUAUGCUGGUAGCAUAAUGUCAUCAACAGUGCACCAGUGUGCUGUGCAAACUAUCCCGAGACAGCCUGUAUGCAUGCAAAGUAUGCUCAAAAGUACCCAAGGCCGAGGCGUGGCAGCUCAUGCCUAUAAUUCCAGCACUUUGGGAGGCUGAGACUGGUGGAUCACUUAAGCCUAGGAGUUUGAGACUAGCCUGAGCAAAAUAGUGAGACCCUAUCUCAACUGAAAACAAAAAAAGAAAAAGAAAAAGAAAUUAGCUAGGUGUGGUGAUAUGCGCCUGUGGUCCCAGCUACUGGGAGGCUGAGGUGGGAGAAUUCAUUGAGCCCUGGAGGCUGAGGCUACAGUAAGCUGUGACUGCACUAUUGCACUCCAGCCUGGAUGACACAGCAAGACUCUGUCUCAAAAUAAAUAAAUUUAUUUAUUAAUACCACAUCAAUCGGUAUUUCCCGAUUUUCAUAAUUGAACUGUGGUUGUAUAAGAGAAUGCCCGUGGCCAGGCGCAGUAGUCCCUGCUACUUGGGGGUUGAGACAGGCGAAACCCCGUCUCCACUAAUAAUAUAAAAAUUAGCAGGUCAUGGUGGCACAUGCCUGUAAUUCCAGUACUCAGGAGGCUGAGGCAGGAGAAUCGCUUGAACCUGGGAGGUGGAGGUUGCAGUGAACCAAGUUUGUGCCACUGCACUCCAGCCUGGACAAUAGUGUGAGACUCCGUCUCAAAUAAAAAUAAAAAUAAAAGAAGUUGCCUGGCUUAGUUGUGCUUACUGGACUCAGAGCCCCACAUGGAGUCUGCUGACCUGUCUUGGGAUUGAAGGGUGAUAGGUGAGAAGGAUGGAGAAUUUGUAAAGGGCCGGCAGUCUCCCUGAUCUGUCUCUUCUAAUUUUGUAGUCGGACUCCUCCUAUUUGGUUCCUGGGCGACCUUCAGUUCUUGAAUUUUAGGGUUCCAAACAACAAGUGUUAAGUGAAGUUUGGGGCCUUUUAAAAGGUGUCAGUGCUUGAAAUUUGAG
rnacentral:lncRNA from 1 species